UGAUCCAUCCCUCCUGCACGGGAUGUGCCAUUUCCCAGUAACCAAUGCAAACACGUGUAUCAGCUCGUCUGUAGAUACUCGACCGUUUCUGAGAAAACGCCAGGCAUGUUUUUGACGUAAUUUAGAAGACCUUUAGCAGGCGCUGAGGUUAAUACAACUGUUGUCAUAGUGAAACUUUAUGUUCAAGAAUGGAGGAGUGUUGACAAUGCAGAUCAAUGAUACCAAAUCAUGCAGGACAGUGAAAUUUUAAACCUCAUCACUGACACUGCCAUCAUGACAUCAACUAGUGGCCCAGCAAAUGAAGAUGAAACCGUACCGGCUGCUUCUGAAGCAUUUCAUUCUUUAAAGCUCAAGAUGAAUGCUACCAGUAUCUGUCCUGAAAAAAGAGAGUGACUUAACUGCUCAUAAGCUGGUUCAGGACCUUACUGACACAUCAGUAUCUCUUUAAGAAGUAUACUGUGAGUAAAAGUCAACAAAAAUUC